rnacentral:rRNA from 1 species
AACGAACGCUGGCGGCAGGCCUAAUACAUGCAAGUCGAGGGGCAGCGCGGUAGCAAUACUGGCGGCGACCGGCGCACGGGUGCGUAACACGUAUGCAACCUACCUUCAACUGGAGGAUAGCCCGGGGAAACUCGGAUUAAUACUCCAUAACACAGGGAUCCCGCAUGGGAAUAUUGUUAAAGCUACGGCGGUUGAAGAUGGGCAUGCGUUCGAUUAGCUAGUUGGUGUAGGUAACGGCUCACCAAGGCUACGAUCGAUAGGGGGUCUGAGAGGAUGAUCCCCCACACUGGUACUGAGAUACGGACCAGACUCCUACGGGA